rnacentral:rRNA from 1 species
UAGCGGCGGACGGGUGAGUAAUGCUUAGGAAUCUGCCUAUUAGUGGGGGACAACAUUCCGAAAGGAAUGCUAAUACCGCAUACGCCCUACGGGGGAAAGCAGGGGAUCUUCGGACCUUGCGCUAAUAGAUGAGCCUAAGUCAGAUUAGCUAGUUGGUGGGGUAAAGGCCUACCAAGGCGACGAUCUGUAGCGGGUCUGAGAGGAUGAUCCGCCACACUGGGACUGAGACACGGCCCAGACUCCUACGGGAGGCAGCAGUGGGGAAUAUUGGACAAUGGGCGCAAGCCUGAUCCAGCCAUGCCGCGUGUGUGAAGAAGGCCUUUUGGUUGUAAAGCACUUUAAGCGAGGAGGAGGCUACUUGGAUUAAUACUCUAGGAUAGUGGACGUUACUCGCAGAAUAAGCACCGGCUAACUCUGUGCCAGCAGCCGCGGUAAUACAGAGGGUGCGAGCGUUAAUCGGAUUUACUGGGCGUAAAGCGUGCGUAGGCGGCUUUUUAAGUCGGAUGUGAAAUCCCUGAGCUUAACUUAGGAAUUGCAUUCGAUACUGGGAAGCUAGAGUAUGGGAGAGGAUGGUAGAAUUCCAGGUGUAGCGGUGAAAUGCGUAGAGAUCUGGAGGAAUACCGAUGGCGAAGGCAGCCAUCUGGCCUAAUACUGACGCUGAGGUACGAAAGCAUGGGGAGCAAACAGGAUUAGAUACCCUGGUAGUCCAUGCCGUAAACGAUGUCUACUAGCCGUUGGGGCCUUUGAGGCUUUAGUGGCGCAGCUAACGCGAUAAGUAGACCGCCUGGGGAGUACGGUCGCAAGACUAAAACUCAAAUGAAUUGACGGGGGCCCGCACAAGCGGUGGAGCAUGUGGUUUAAUUCGAUGCAACGCGAAGAACCUUACCUGGUCUUGACAUAGUAAGAACUUUCCAGAGAUGGAUUGGUGCCUUCGGGAACUUACAUACAGGUGCUGCAUGGCUGUCGUCAGCUCGUGUCGUGAGAUGUUGGGUUAAGUCCCGCAACGAGCGCAACCCUUUUCCUUAUUUGCCAGCGGGUUAAGCCGGGAACUUUAAGGAUACUGCCAGUGACAAACUGGAAGGAAGGCGGGGAACAACGUCAAGUCAUCAUGGGCCCUUACGAACAAGGGCUACCAACCGUGCUACAAUGGGCCGGUACAAAAGGGUUGCUACCUUAGCGAUAGGAUGCUAAUCUCAAAAAAGCCGAUCGUAAUUCCGGAUUGGAAUUCUGCAACUCGACUCCCUUGAAGUCCGGAAUCCCUUAGUAAUCCCGGGAUCCAAA